CGUAUACCGCCGGCCCCGAAAUGAAGUGGCGGCCCGUCCGCGGCGACCUCUGCGUAGUAAUCCAACUCGCACCGGAACCCCGACGUGGCCACGCCGUAAAACCCCCGACUUCUGAACGUUGACCUCGGAUCAGGUAGGAAU
rnacentral:rRNA from 1 species